AUGCCAGAAGAGCAAUUGCCCAGUGAUUACUUCCUUGAUGAUGAGUCAGCAUCUGAGGAUGAUAAAGAAGCAAGAAAGAUCAAUGUUUACUAUGUGGAGUACAAGAAGAAACUCAGGGCUGACAACAUAGACAUUUUAGAUGAAGUGUUCAUUACAAAUGCAGCAAUAGGUUCAAGGGAAAAUGUUGGAGAGGAUGUAGCUGUUGAAAGCAACUCAAACAGCUCAGAUUCUAAUGACUCUUUCAAAGAAAACAGUGAUGGAGAGGUUGUCACUAAACCUAAAAAAAUUCAUGUGUACAAAGACAGAGGAGAAGUACCAGAGUUCUGUCUUGGUAUGAAAUUUGAAUCAAAGGAAGAGUUCAGAAAAGCAAUAAUUACUUAUGGACUGCAUCACAGAAGGUUAAUUAGGUUUAAGAAAAAUGAUUCUGUAAGGUGCAGAGCAGAGUGUGAUUGGGGGACAUGCCCCUGGUUCUGUUUACUUAGUAGGACAAGUAGGUGCAAUAGUUGGCACGUGACAUCUUUCAGAGAUAAGCAUUGUUGCCCAAAAAGGAAGGAUAAUAAGCUGGUCACUUCAGUUAGGAUUGCAUAA
rnacentral:rRNA from 1 species